UGGUAGAUGCACCUUGAUCUUCAACUCCUCUAGUGGGGUAGUACCGACUAGGGGUUUUUUCU
rnacentral:sRNA from 1 species